rnacentral:rRNA from 1 species
UACGUAGGUGGCGAGCGUUGUCCGGAUUUACUGGGCGUAAAGGGCGUGCAGGCGGUUUGUUAAGUGCCUUGUGAAAUCCCACAGCUCACCUGUGGAACUGCUUGGCAUACUGGCGAUCUUGAGCCACUUAGGGGCAACCGGAACAAACGGUGGAGCGGUGAAAUGCGUAGAUAUCGAGAGGAACACCUGCGGCGAAGGCGGGUUGCUGGGCUGAUACUGACGCUGAGGCGCGAAAGCCAGGGGAGCGAACGGG